rnacentral:rRNA from 1 species
UGCAAGUCUAGGGGGCGUAGCAAUACGUCACCGGCGGACGGGUGCGUAACACGUGGGAAUAUACCUUUUGGUUCGGAACAACGCAGGGAAACUUGCGCUAAUACCGAAUGUGUCCUUACGGAGAAAGAUUUAUCGCCAAAGGAUUAGCCCGCGUUCGAUUAGCUAGUCGGUGAGGUAAUGGCUCACCAAGGCAACGAUCGAUAGCUGUUCUGAGAGGAAGAUCAGCCACACUGGGACUGAGACACGGCCCAGACUCCUACGGGAGGCAGCAGUUGGGAAUCUUGGACAAUGGGGGAAACCCUGAUCCAGCCAUGCCGCGUGAGUGAUGAAGGCCUUCGGGUUGUAAAGCUCUUUUACCCGGGAAGAUAAUGACUGUACCGGGAGAAUAAGCUCCGGCUAACUUCGUGCCAGCAGCCGCGGCAAUACGAAGGGGGCUAGCGUUGUU